UUAGAGUUUUUNNNNUGGCUCAGGACGAACGCUGGCGGCGUGCCUAAUACAUGCAAGUCGAGCGGACAGAAGGGAGCUUGCUCCNGGACGUUAGCGGCGGACGGGUGAGUAACACGUGGGCAACCUGCCCCUUAGACUGGGAUAACUCCGGGAAACCGGAGCUAAUACCGGAUAAUCCCUUUCUCCACCUGGAGAGAGGGUGAAAGAUGGCUUCGGCUAUCACUAGGGGAUGGGCCCGCGGCGCAUUAGCUAGUUGGUAAGGUAACGGCUUACCAAGGCAACGAUGCGUAGCCGACCUGAGAGGGUGAUCGGCCACACUGGGACUGAGACACGGCCCAGACUCCUACGGGAGGCAGCAGUAGGGAAUCUUCCGCAAUGGACGAAAGUCUGACGGAGCAACGCCGCGUGAGUGAGGAAGGCCUUCGGGUCGUAAAGCUCUGUUGUGAGGGAAGAAGCGGUACCGUUCGAAUAGGGCGUACCUGACGUCUC
rnacentral:rRNA from 1 species